rnacentral:rRNA from 1 species
AACGAACGCUGGCGGCAUGCCUAACACAUGCAAGUCGAACGGCAGCGGGGGAGAAGCUUGCUUUUCCUGCCGGCGAGUGGCGAACGGGUGAGUAAUACAUCGGAACGUGCCCUGUAGUGGGGGAUAACUAGUCGAAAGAUUAGCUAAUACCGCAUACGACCUGAGGGUGAAAGUGGGGGACCGCAAGGCCUCAUGCUAUAGGAGCGGCCGAUGUAUGAUUAGCUAGUUGGUGGGGUAAAGGCCUACCAAGGCGACGAUCAGUAGCUGGUCUGAGAGGACGAUCAGCCACACUGGGACUGAGACACGGCCCAGACUCCUACGGGAGGCAGCAGUGGGGAAUUUUGGACAAUGGGCGAAAGCCUGAUCUAGCAAUGCCGCGUGUGUGAAGAAGGCCUUCGGGUUGUAAAGCACUUUUGUCCGGAAAGAAAUGGCUCUGGUUAAUACCUGGGGUCGAUGACGGUACCGGAAGAAUAAGGACCGGCUAACUACGUGCCAGCCGCCGCGGUAA